GAUGAACGCUGGCGGCGUGCUUAACACAUGCAAGUCGAACGAUGAUCCGGUGCUUGCACCGGGGAUUAGUGGCGAACGGGUGAGUAACACGUGAGUAACCUGCCCUUAACUCUGGGAUAAGCCUGGGAAACUGGGUCUAAUACCGGAUAUGACUGAUCAUCGCAUGGUGGUUGGUGGAAAGCUUUUUGUGGUUUUGGAUGGACUCGCGGCCUAUCAGCUUGUUGGGAGGUAAUGGCUUACCAAGGCGACGACGGGUAGCCGGCCUGAGAGGGUGACCGGCCACACUGGGACUGAGACACGGCCCAGACUCCUACGGGAGGCAGCAGUGGGGAAUAUUGCACAAUGGGCGCAAGCCUGAUGCAGCGACCGCCGCGUGAGGGAUGACGGCCUCGGUUGUAA
rnacentral:rRNA from 1 species